rnacentral:rRNA from 1 species
CCUACGGGAGGCAGCAGUGGGGAAUAUUGGGCAAUGGGCGCAAGCCUGACCCAGCAACGCCGCGUGAAGGAAGAAGGCUUUCGGGUUGUAAACUUCUUUUAUCAGGGACGAAGCAAGUGACGGUACCUGAUGAAUAAGCCACGGCUAACUAGGGGCCAGCAGCCGCGGUAAUCCGGCGGCGGCAGUCGUUAUGCGGAUUUACUGGGUGUAAAGGUCGGGUAGGUGGGAGUGGAAGGCAGAUGUGAAAAUUAUGGGCUCAACCCAUAGCGUGCAUUUGAAACUGUACUUCUUGAGUGCUGGAGAGGCAAUCGGAAUGCGGUGUGUAGCGGUGAAAUGCGUAGAUAUAAGGAAGAACACCAGUGGCGAAGGCGGAUUGCUGGACAGUAACUGACGCUGAGGCGCGAAAGCGUGGGGAGCAAACAGGAUUAGAUACCCGAGUAGUC